CAGGACGAACGCUGGCGGCGUGCUUAACACAUGCAAGUUGAACGGUAUGACAUGGAAGCUUGCUGAAGUGUCAUAUAGUAGCGGACGGGUGAGUAAUGCAUGAGAAGCUGCCAUUGGGAGGGGGACAACAGUUGGAAACGGCUGCUAAUACCCCGUAUGCCGGAGGGUGAAAGGGAGUAAUCCGCCCGAUGAGGUGCUCAUGUCCUAUCAGCUGGUUGGUGGGGUAACGGCCUACCAAGGCGACGACGGGUAGCCGGCCUGAGAGGGUGAACGGCCACACUGGAACUGAGAUACGGUCCAGACUCCUACGGGAGGCAGCAGUGGGGAAUAUUGGGCAAAUGGGGGCAACCCUGACCCAGCGACGCCGCGUGGGGGAAGACGGCCUUCGGGUUGUAAACCUCUUUUGUACGGGAAGAAGGAAGUGACGGUACUGUACGAAUAAGUCCCGGCUAACUACGUGCCAGCCGCUGC
rnacentral:rRNA from 1 species